rnacentral:rRNA from 1 species
UACGAAGGGGGCUAGCGUUGCUCGGAAUCACUGGGCGUAAAGGGGGCGUAGGCGGGUCUUUAAGUCAGGGGUGAAAUCCUGGAGCUCAACUCCAGAACUGCCUUUGAUACUGAGGAUCUUGAGUCCGGGAGAGGUGAGUGGAACUGCGAGUGUAGAGGUGAAAUUCGUAGAUAUUCGCAAGAACACCAGUGGCGAAGGCGGCUCACUGGCCCGGUACUGACGCUGAGGCACGAAAGCGUGGGGAGCAAACAGG